UAGCCAACUCCAUUUUCCAGAUGAGAAAAACUGUGGUUCCAGAAAACUGUGUGAUUUGCUGGGCCAACAUGUUGUUACUGGUGGAACCAGAGUUCCCACCCAGGUGGUUUAAGUUUCCGGCCUUCCUCUUUCCACCCUGCAUUUGUGUUUAACCAAUCCUAGAGGUCUCCUUGGCCCCAGUUAGCCUUCUCCAGUGUGGUUUCAAAUCCAUUUUCCUCUUUUGAAAUCAUGCUCCAAAACAGCUUAUAAAGAAACUGUAAUAUUUUACUGACAAUCUCCAGAGUCCUGGCAACACAUUAGGUGCUUGAAUACAGACACACACAGGUCCACAACCCUUCCUGACCUCCUUGCAUCUCCCUCCCCAACUCUGAUGACAAGUUUAAUUGCUGCCAUGAUUCACAAAUAUUUCUAAGGAAGAGGUUGAACUUGUUUCUUCUCUUCAGCCACAGGAAAACAUCAAGAAAGAAGGUGGUUUCAGACAGACUUGCUGCAAGUGCCAGGUGACUGGUCUCCAUUGUUGGUGAAUUUUAUCUGCAAACUUGGCACACCCUACCUCCCAGCUCCACCUGGAGGGCACCCCAUUUCAUCCUCAGGAUGGCAUCUACCUGGAGCCUGCGGCCACCACCAUAGACUCCUUGCGAUUGUUGCGUCGGCAUGUCUGUCAUCAAUGGUUCCUGAGACGUAAUCCUCUCAGAAAUGUAGUCGACAUUCUUGUUUGCUUUAGAGUAGAAAAUCCUCUAAUUCGAAAAAGUGCAUGAUCUCAAUGUUCAUAGCCAUGCUAUUUACAUUAGCCAAGACAUGGAAGCUACUAAGUGUCUGCCAACAAAGGAACGGAUAAAAAAGUUGUGGUAUAUAUAUAUAGAUAUAGAUAUAGAUGUAGAUAUAUACACAAUGGAAUAUUACUCAGCCAUAAAAAUGAAUGAAAUAAUUCUGUUUGAACCAACGUGGAUGGAUCUAGAGGUUAUUAUACUAAGUGAAGUGAGUCAGAUAGAGAAAGACAAAUAUUAUAUGAUAUCAAGAAAGCUGAGCACCAAAGAAUUGAUGUUUUUGAACUAUGGUGUUGGAGAAGACUCUUG
ensembl:lncRNA